AAUGGGGGCAACCCUGAUCUAGCCAUGCCGCGUGAGUGAUGAAGGCCUUAGGGUCGUAAAGCUCUUUCGCCUGUGAUGAUAAUGACAGUAGCAGGUAAAGAAACCCCGGCUAACUCCGUGCCAGCAGCCGCGGUAAUACGGAGGGGGUUAGCGUUGUUCGGAAUUACUGGGCGUAAAGCGCGCGUAGGCGGAUUAGAAAGUUGGGGGUGAAAUCCCGGGGCUCAACCCCGGAACUGCCUCCAAAACUGCUAGUCUAGAGUUCGAGAGAGGUGAGUGGAAUUCCGAGUGUAGAGGUGAAAUUCGUAGAUAUUCGGAGGAACACCAGUGGCGAAGGCGGCUCACUGGCUCGAUACUGACGCUGAGGUGCGAAAGUGUGGGGAGCAAACAGGAUU
rnacentral:rRNA from 1 species